CAGUCGCCGCGGGAAUACGGAGGGUGCAAGCGUUAAUCGGAAUUACUGGGCGUAAAGCGUGCGUAGGCGGUUCGUUAAGUCUGUUGUGAAAGCCCCGGGCUCAACCUGGGAAUGGCAAUGGAUACUGGCGAGCUAGAGUGUGUCAGAGGAUGGUGGAAUUCCCGGUGUAGCGGUGAAAUGCGUAGAGAUCGGGAGGAACAUCAGUGGCGAAGGCGGCCAUCUGGGACAACACUGACGCUGAGCCACGAAAGCGUGGGGAGCAAACAGGAUUAGAUACCCCGGUAGUCCCUGUCUCUUAUAC
rnacentral:rRNA from 1 species